AUACGUAGGUGGCAAGCGUUGUCCGAAUUUACUGGGUGUAAAGGGCGUGUAGGCGGGUGCCUUAGUCAGUGGUGAAAUACCGGGGCUCAACCCCGGGGCUGCCAUUGAAACUGGGCAUCUUGAGUGCAGGAGAGGAAAGCGGAAUUCCUAGUGUAGCGGUGAAAUGCGUAGAGAUUAGGAAGAACACCAGUGGCGAAGGCGAUUCUCUGGACUGUAACUGACGCUGAGGCUCGAAAGCGUGGGGAGC
rnacentral:rRNA from 1 species